UUUUUAUUCAGGCAACGAGCGGAACCCCCCCUCCUAAUUCCCAGCACCACCCCCUGGUGGAUGGGUACAUUAGGAGGACUGCCGUUGCCAAAACGGAGGAAGGAACGGGCAACGGUAGGUCAGUAUGCCCCGAAUGUGCUGGGCUACACGCGGGCUACAAUGGCCGGGACAAUGGGUUCCCACCUCGAAAGAGGACGGUAAUCUCCGAAACUCGGUCGUAGUUCGGAUUGAGGGCUGAAACUCGCCCUCA
rnacentral:rRNA from 1 species